CAUGGCAACGCGGCCUGGCUGCCCCGCGGCCCGCCCGGGGCCGGGCCCCGCUGUCCGUGUCCCUCGCGACCCCCGCACCCCUCCAGCGAAUCCUCCAUCAGCCCUUUUCCCACCCUCCGCUUUCCCCCUUCUGGGGCUUCCGGGCUGGCCUCGCCGCUGUGCUGGUGUUGGACCAGGCCGCGGUUGAGUCAAAGAAAUCUGGGAAACCCAACUUGAAGAGGCCCACAGAGAUCUCACCUGGAGACAGGGAGAUCUUCCCUUGUCCCCCCUGAGGAGACCUCCCACCCCCGGUGCUGCAGUUUUCUCACCUGGUGCACCACAUCCUUGUUCCACAGUCUCGUGACUCACCUCACUGCAAUCUGCUGUCAUUCCCUUUGCUACUUCAUUACGUAAAAUGAAUAAAAUUAAUGAUUUCUGGGACAUG